rnacentral:lncRNA from 1 species
AAGAGAAUGUUCCAAUGGUUUUUUGCCUAUCAUUUUAUUGUUCAUGUGCGCAAUUUGGUGUUGAGUUGCUUGAGGACAAGUAAUGAUCUUAAGUUGAGGGUGUUGAUGUUCCUGUGUUUUACGGAACAUUUAGCAUCAUUUUCUUAGAAAAAUUAUAUGUUUUCAAGCAAUCAAAGUGAUAUUUAAUGAAGGUUUUUAGUGUUUCAGUGAAAGGAGAUAACCACAGAAGAAAACUGGAAAAAGUAGCAGAAAAGGGGAAUUGACGGUCAAAAUGACGGACCAUCGGGUUUACGACGGACCGCAAUAUAUACCGUCAAGUUGAACUAAAACAAGGCCUCUAGAGGAGUCGAGUGAUGCACAAUAUGGCGUACCAUCAGACAUGUGACGGACCACCAUAUGGACCAUCAACACUUAUCCAGAAACUACUUCUCAGAGGGACUUGGUGACGAUCAAGGUAGUGGACCGUCAGACAUGGGACGGACCACCAGAUUGACCGUCAACGCUUAUCCAAAACCUGUUCUCCAGAGGAACUCCAUGACGGUCAAAGUGGUGGAUCAUCAAUCUUGGGAUGGACCACCAGAUUGACCGUCAGUUCUUAUCCAGAAGCUGCCUUCCAAAAAGACUCCGCGACGGUAAAGAUGGCGGACCGUCAGUCCAUCGACGGACCGCCAGGUGGGCCAUUAGAUGUUAUCCAGAAACUGUCAUUCGGAUGAAUCGAUUGACGGUAAAG